AUGAGUCAUGACUCAGGGCAUGUCACACAAAAUAGUGGUGUAGUGAACAUUGCAGAAAAUGGUGUUCGAUAUUAUGGCAGAUUAACUAACAUAUUUGAAUUGUCCUAUAAUGAUUACAAGGUGGUGUUCUUUAAUUGUGAUUGGUAUGAUGUCUACCACAAAGUUGGCAUUCAAACCGAUGAGUUUGGGUUCAUUCUUGUGAACAAGUCUCAGAAAAUACACACAGGAGAUCAGUUAGAGGAUGAUCCUUUUGUAUUUUCUUCCCAGGUGCAGCAGGUUUUCUAUGUUCAAGAUCCAAAAGCUGAACUAUGGAAUGUAGUAGUGGAAGUCAGGCCUCGUGACCUUUUUGACAUGGGUGAUGAAGAAUCAUCAGAUGAAACAGAUUAG
rnacentral:rRNA from 1 species